CCAUUCCUACGGGAGGCAGCAGUGGGGGAUAUUGCACAAUGGGGGAAACCCUGAUGCAGCGACGCCGCGUGAGCGAUGAAGUAUUUCGGUAUGUAAAGCUCUGUCCUUGGUGACGAUAAUGACGGUAGCCAAGGAGGAAGCCACGGCUAACUACGUGCCAGCAGCCGCGGUAAUACGUAGGUGGCGAGCGUUGUCCGGAAUUACUGGGUGUAAAGGGAGCGUAGGCGGGAGAGCAAGUCGACU
rnacentral:rRNA from 1 species